UAAGGGGACACAGGGGACAAGGUGAGGGGACACAGGGGACAAGGUGAGGGGACAAGGGACAAGGUGAGGGGACACCGGGGACAAGGUGAGGGGACACAGGGGACAAGGUGAGGGGACAAGGGACAAGGUGAGGGGACACAGGGGACAAGGUGAGGGGACACAGGGGACAAGGUGAGUGGGCACAGGGGACAAGGUGAGGGGACACAGGGGACAAGGUGAGGGGACAAGGGACAAGGUGAGGGGACAAGGUGAGGGGACAAGGAACAAGAUGAGGGGACACCUGGGGACAAGGUGAAGGGACACAAGGGACAAG